rnacentral:lncRNA from 1 species
GUUGGGGUCCCUAGGGUGCUGGGUGACCUGGUGGCCAUGUCCUUGGGGUGCUGGGGGUCCUUGGGGUUCUGGGGUGACCUGGUGGCCAGGUCCUCGUGGUGCUGGGUGACCUGGUGGCAGGGUCCCCGGGGUGCUGGGUGUCCCCGGGGCGCUGGGUGACCUGGUGGCAGGGUCCUCGGGGCGAUGGGGUCCCCGGGGGGGGCUCUGGGGGUCCCCGGGGUGCCGGGCUGUCCCGGCGGCUGGGUGCUGACGGCCGCGGCAGCGGGAGGCGCAGGUGAAGUUCCACGUGCUGCUCACCUCCUACGAGCUGAUCACCAUCGACCAGGCGGCGCUGGGCUCCAUCCGCUGGGCCUGCCUGGUGGUGGACGAGGCCCACCGCCUCAAGAACAACCAGAGCAAGUUCUUUCGGGUGCUCAACGGGUACAAGAUCGAGCACAAGCUGCUGCUGACGGGGACCCCGCUGCAGAACAACCUGGAGGAGCUCUUCCACCUCCUCAACUUCCUCACGCCCGAGCGCUUCAACAACCUGGAGGGCUUCCUGGAGGAGUUCGCCGACAUCUCCAAGGAGGACCAGAUCAAGAAGCUCCACGACCUGCUGGGCCCCCACAUGCUGCGGCGCCUCAAGGCCGACGUCUUCAAGAACAUGCCGGCCAAGACCGAGCUCAUCGUGCGCGUCGAGCUCAGCCCCAUGCAGAAGUACGGGCGCCGCGGGCAGGGAGGGGGUGGUCCAGGCACGUGGGGGGGGGGGCCCAGCGCCCCAGAAACAGCUCCUGGGAGCCCCGGGGGUCCCAGCACCACAAUAGCUGAUCCCGCUGGGCUUGGGGAGGGUCUCAGCACCCCAAUUCCAGGUCUCAGUACCCCAAUACCAGGUCCUAUCCACUUUGUGGGGGGGGUCCUCAGCACCCCAACACCCAGAGCCCACCGGCUUUGGGGGUCUCAGCACCCCAAUUCCAGCUUCCAGCACGCCAAUUU